rnacentral:rRNA from 1 species
AGCUGCGAUCAUACCAGCACUAAUGCUAUGGAUCCCAUUAGAACUCCGCAGUAAAGCAUGCUUUGGCGAGAGUAGUUUUAGGAUGGGUGUGUUAAGAUAAAAUCUCAAAUUAAAGUUU